rnacentral:rRNA from 1 species
UGGUGGGUUGCCUUGUCAGGUUGAUUCCGGUAACGAACGAGACCUCAGCCUGCUAAAUAGUCACACCUGCCUUUGGCAGGCGGCAGACUUCUUAGAGGGACUAUUGUCGUUUAGGCAAUGGAAGUAUGAGGCAAUAACA